rnacentral:rRNA from 1 species
UACGUAGGCGGCAAGCGUUGUUCGGAUUUACUGGGCGUAAAGAGUGUGUAGGCGGUGCUCUAAGUCUGUUGUGAAAUCUCCCGGCUUAACCGGGAGGGUGCGGCGGAAACUGGAGUGCUUGAGGGUGGGAGAGGUAAGCGGAAUUCCUGGUGUAGCGGUGAAAUGCGUAGAUAUCAGGAGGAACACCUGUGGUGUAGACAGCUUACUGGACCACUUCUGACGCUGAGACACGAAAGCGUGGGUAGCAAACAGG